CAUUCAUAAUAAGUGUUUUAUGGCACUUUUUAAAUCCAUAUCCACCUUGUGUGCAAUGUCAGUCGAUCUUCUUCAUGGAGAUCGACCAAACAUCAACCUUUAUUUUUUAACUCUUUGUCUGAAAAAUAUUAUGAAUAAACAAUUCAAAAUACAACUUUCAACAACGGAUCUCUUGGCUCUCGCAUCGAUGAAGAACGCAGCGAAAUGCGAUACGUAAUGUGAAUUGCAGAAUUCAGUGAAUCAUCGAAUCUUUGAACGCAUAUUGCGCUCUUUGGUAUUCCGAAGAGCAUGCUUGUUUGAGUAUCAGUAAACACCUCAAAGCUUUUGGAUUUUUUAAUCGAAAAGCUUUGGACUUGAGCAAUCCCAACACCAAUCUUUUUGAGAUCGGUGGCGGGUUGCUUGAAAUGCAGGUGCAGCUGGACAUUCUCCUGAGCUAAAAGCAUAUUCAUUUAGUCCCGUCAAACGGAUUAUUACUUUUGCUGCAGCUAACAUAAAGGGAGUUUGACCGUAUUGGCUGACUGAUGCAGGAUUUCACAAGGGUCGGCAACGAUUCUUGUUAAACUCGAUCUCAAAUCAAGUAAGACUACCCGCUGAACUUAA
rnacentral:rRNA from 1 species